GAUGAACGCUGGCGGCGUGCCUAAUACAUGCAAGUCGAGCGAACAGACGAGGAGCUUGCUCCUCUGACGUUAGCGGCGGACGGGUGAGUAACACGUGGAUAACCUACCUAUAAGACUGGGAUAACUUCGGGAAACCGGAGCUAAUACCGGAUAAUAUAUUGAACCGCAUGGAUCAAUAGUGAAAGACGGUUUUCCUGUCACUUAUAGAUGGAUCCGCGCCGCAUUAGCUAGUUGGUAAGGUAACGGCUUGCCAAGGCAACGAUGCGUAGCCGACCUGAGAGGGUGAUCGGCCACACUGGAACUGAGACACGGUCCAGACUCCUACGGGAGGCAGCAGUAGGGAAUCUUCCGCAAUGGGCGAAAGCUUGACGGAGCAACGCCGCGUGAGUGAUGAAGGUCUUCGGAUCGUAAAGCUCUGUUAUUAGGGAAGAACAAAUGUGUAAGUAACUAUGCACGUCUUGACGGUACCUAAUCAGAAAGCCACGGCUAACUACGUG
rnacentral:rRNA from 1 species